CAAUAGCGUAUAUUAAAGUUGUUGCGGUUAAAAAGCUCGUAGUUGGAUUUCUGCUGAGGAUGACCGGUCCGCCCUGUGGGUGUGCAUCUGGCUCAGCCUUGGCAUCUUCCUGAAGAACGUAGCUGCACUUGACUGUGUGGUGCGGUAUUUAGGACAUUUACUUUGAGGAAAUUAGAGUGUUUCAAGCAAGCGCACGCUUUGAAUACAUUAGCAUGGAAUAAUAAGAUAGGACCUUGGUUCUAUUUUGUUGGUUUCUAGAGCUGAGGUAAUGAUUGAUAGGGAUAGUUGGGGGCAUUCGUAUUUAACUGUCAGAGGCGAAAUUCUUGGAUUUGUUAAAGACGGACUACUGCGAAAGCAUUUGCCAAGGAUGUUUUCAUUGA
rnacentral:rRNA from 1 species